rnacentral:rRNA from 1 species
AACGAACGCUGGCGGCAUGCCUAACACAUGCAAGUCGAACGAGACGUUCGGGUCUAGUGGCGCACGGGUGCGUAACGCGGGGGAACCUGCCCUUAGGUUCGGAAUAACUCCCUGAAAGGGGUGCUAAUACCGGAUAAUGUCUUCGGACCAAAGAUUUAUCGCCAUUGGAUGGGCCCGCGUUGGAUUAGCUAGUUGGUAGGGUAAAAGCCUACCAAGGCGACGAUGCAUAGCUGGUCGGGGAGGAUGAUAAGCCACACUGGAGCUGAGACACGGCCCACACUCCUACGGAGGGCAGCAGAAGGGAAUAUUAGACGAUGAGCGAUAGCCUGACACAGCAAUGCCGCGGGAGAGAUGAAGGCCUUAGGGUUGUAAAGCUCUUUUACCCGGGAUGAUAAUGACAGUACCGGGAGAAUAAGCUCCGGCUAACUACGUG